rnacentral:lncRNA from 1 species
ACCGCAAAGCAGAGUCCUGAUUGGACUCAGGGGCAGGGCGGGCGCCCUGACCAACUGGGCGGCCGCCCAGGGUCAGGCCCCGUUUCGCCUCCGCUUCGGUCUCGUGGCUUCUGGAGUCUUCUAGAUGUAAGAUAAUUGCGCAGCACGUUAAUAUCUUUACGUAAUCCCGACAUGUGGGCCUUUCCUCCAUAUUUCCUGAUAACCCCCUGCAGAAAUAGACAAACACCAAAACUCGUGGAAUUCUGUCAGAUAAAACCCU